UUUUUUUACUUAUUUCAGUUUGAAGAAGUGGCGGCAGUUACUUAUCCAAAGAAACCUUGUCAGCAAAGAAAACCUACAUGUAAAACACAAAGCAGAAGAAAAAGCAAUCAGUGUGAACAGCCUGUGGUUGUAACAUCACAAAUUGUUCAACAUGGUACCAACAAAACUGUAUUACAGGAGCCUUCAACUUCCAAUGAAAAUGUGUCACUUUCCCAAAGUACAUCUGGAAGGUCUAGACGGUCCAGACAUGUCAAAUUGGUUGGUAGAAAAAUUCUUCAUGAAUGGUGCGUUUGUGACAAAAAGAAAAAGGGAAAAAAUAAAUGGUUCUCUGGAAUUGUCUUAGAUGUUGUCAAAGGAAAAGAUGGUGACCCCAAAGCAGUAUAUGAAGUACUGUAUGAAGGAGAGGAUGCUGCCAAUAAAGUAGAUCACUUACAUGUUGACUUCAUAAAAGGCUCCUUAAAAUUCAACGACAUUUGAGGACAGGUAAAAGUUUAUUUUAUCA